rnacentral:rRNA from 1 species
GUGAGGAAUAUUGGACAAUGGGCGCAAGUCUGAUCCAGCCAUGCCGCGUGCAGGAAGACGCAUCUAUGGUGUGUAAACUGCUUUUGUACGGGAAGAAACACUCCCUCGUGAGGGAGCUUGACGGUACCGUAAGAAUAAGGAUCGGCUAACUCCGUGCCAGCAGCCGCGGUAAUACGGAGGAUCCAAGCGUUAUCCGGAAUCAUUGGGUUUAAAGGGUCCGUAGGCGGUUUAAUAAGUCAGUGGUGAAAGCCCAUCGCUCAACGAUGGAACGGCCAUUGAUACUGUUAGACUUGAAUUACAAGGAAGUAACUAGAAUAUGUAGUGUAGCGGUGAAAUGCUUAGAUAUUACAUGGAAUACCAAUUGCGAAGGCAGGUUACUACUUGUGGAUUGACGCUGAUGGACGAAAGCGUGGGGAGCGAACAGGAUUAGAUACCCCGGUAGUCC